rnacentral:rRNA from 1 species
CAACUCCCGUACCCAUCCCGAACACGGCAGAUAAGCCCGCCAGCGUUCCGGUGAGUACUGGAGUGCGCGAGCCUCUGGGAAAGCUGUCCCUCACGGGAG